UGACCAUUCAGUUGUGGUAGGAACUAUGGGAGGAAUUUGGCUUCUGGGUUUUUGUGCAGUCGCAUUGUGGCUUAAAGGGUCUUGUUUACCGAUUGAUCAUAAUGGAGGAAUACACUAUGAACCAAAAGGGACUGGAAACUCAUUAUCCCAAAAUGAGAUUCUUCU